GGUGGUGGCAGGAGGCCGAGAAAGACGGUGAUGGAAACAGACGAUGAAAGGAAAAGGAGAGGGGGAAAGGGGAAACCUGUUUUUAGGGAUUGUUAUUAUUGUAAAUGUGCUCAGGAUUUACAGUACAGUGUAGCUUCCUCGAAAUGAAUUCGAAGCAGAAAUGCAGGAGAACCGUUCAGAUGUUACAGUGAAUGCACAUACAGUCUGCAUGAUCGUGGGUAGAUAUGUUCGUAAGAAAGAGCCAACCUGUGUUAACUUUACAAAUGAAUUCGGACCAGUAUCUGGAUAAAUCAUAUUUUCAGCUGCUCAUACUUAGAAGGGAAUGUGAGACAUAGUCAUCCUUUGUAUAAAGAACAAUGAAGUUGUGUGCUGUGCCUGGAUCGUGUGUGCACUGUAACUUGUGUAUAGGGCUAAAACAAAAGCAGGGAAAGGGCGUUAAAAAUGUAGAUUUCUGUCUCUGCACCAAGUGAGUGGCAUUGAUUCUUUGUCAUGAAAGAAGCCAAUCAUAAUCUUUCCACUCAAAUAAAGCUGCUGCUUUAUUAAAGUAUUUUACUUCAGUAUUCUACUUGAAAAA